UUAAUACCCCAUAAUAUAUUUGAUGGCAUCAUUAGAUAUUGAAAACUCCGGUGGAUAGAGAUGGGCACGCGCAAGAUUAGUUAGUUGGUGAGGUAACGGCUCACCAAGGCGAUGAUCUUUAGGGGGCCUGAGAGGGUGAUCCCCCACACUGGUACUGAGACACGGACCAGACUCCUACGGGAGGCAGCAGUGAGGAAUAUUGGACAAUGGGUUAGCGCCUGAUCCAGCCAUCCCGCGUGAAGGACGACGGCCCUAUGGGUUGUAAACUUCUUUUGUAUAGGGAUAAACCUACUCUCGUGAGAGUAGCUGAAGGUACUAUACGAAUAAGCACCGGCUAACUCCGUGCCAGCAGCCGCGGUAAUACGGAGGGUGCAAGCGUUAUCCGGAUUUAUUGGGUUUAAAGGGUCCGUAGGCGGAUCUGUAAGUCAGUGGUGAAAUCUCAUAGCUUAACUAUGAAACUGCCAUUGAUACUGCAGGUCUUGAGUAAAUUUGAAGUGGCUGGAAUAAGUAGUGUAGCGGUGAAAUGCAUAGAUAUUACUUAGAACACCAAUUGCGAAGGCAGGUCACUAAGAUUUAACUGACGCUGAUGGACGAAAGCGUGGGGAGCGAACAGGAUUAGAUACCCUGGUAGUCCACGCCGUAAACGAUGCUAACUCGUUUUUUGUGAUUCGUCAUGAGAGACUAAGCGAAAGUGAUAAGUUAGCCACCUGGGGAGUACGUUCGCAAGAAUGAAACUCAAAGGAAUUGACGGGGGCCCGCACAAGCGGUGGAUUAUGUGGUUUAAUUCGAUGAUACGCGAGGAACCUUACCAAGACUUAAAUGGGAAUUGACAGAUUUAGAAAUAGAUCCUUCUUCGGACAAUUUUCAAGGUGCUGCAUGGUUGUCGUCAGCUCGUGCCGUGAGGUGUUAGGUUAAGUCCUGCAACGAGCGCAACCCCUGUCGCCAGUUGCUACCAUUCAGUUGAGGACUCUGGCGAGACUGCCUACGCAAGUAGAGAGGAAGGUGGGGAUGACGUCAAAUCAUCACGGCCCUUACGUCUUGGGCCACACACGUAAUACAAUGGCCGGUACAGAGGGCAGCUACACAGCGAUGUGAUGCAAAUCUCGAAAGCCGGUCUCAGUUCGGAUUGGAGUCUGCAACUCGACUCUAUGAAGCUGGAAUCGCUAGUA
rnacentral:rRNA from 1 species